CCUGGAAUUUUACCUGCCCUCAUGAAAUGAGCCGCCCUCAGCAGCUUCUUCCAUCCUGCCGUCCUACGCCAGAGAAGAAAAGACCCAGCACCAGGAAAUAAAGAGUGCCCAAAUCUUCACCCCUGGUCAGAUCCAAUUUCUUCCUGUGACAACCAUCUUACAAAUGUCUCCCAAUGGAUCUCCUCAUAGUCACAUCUUUGAGUUCCGUCUGCAGGAAAUGUUUGCAUCCCUACAAAAGAAGAGGCAGUUGGACUGAGAAGACAGCUCAGCAGGUGAAGAGCUUGCCACAGGAGCACGAGGACCUGCGUUUCAUCUUCGGCACCCACAUAAAGCCAGGCACAACAGUACACACCUGUAAUCCCCGCACUGACCAGAGGAUACUUAGGGCUUGCUGGCCAGCCCGUUUAACUGAAUUG
rnacentral:lncRNA from 1 species